GAGGGAUUAACUCAGUGGUAGAGUGUCAGCUUCCCAAGCUGAAGGUCGCGGGUUCAAAUCCCGUAUCCCUCUCCA
rnacentral:tRNA from 1 species